AGUGAACGCUGGCGGUAGGCCUAACACAUGCAAGUCGAGCGGCAGCACAGUAAGAGCUUGCUCUUACGGGUGGCGAGUGGCGGACGGGUGAGGAAUACAUCGGAAUCUACUUUUUCGUGGGGGAUAACGUGGGGAAACUUACGCUAAUACCGCAUACGACCUACGGGUGAAAGCAGGGGAUCUUCGGACCUUGCGCGAUUGAAUGAGCCGAUGUCGGAUUAGCUAGUUGGCGGGGUAAUGGCCCACGAAGGCGACGAUCCGUAGCUGGUCUGAGAGGAUGAUCAGCCACACUGGAACUGAGACACGGUCCAGACUCCUACGGGAGGCAGCAGUGGGGAAUAUUGGACAAUGGGCGCAAGGCUGAUCCAGCCAUACCGCGUGGGUGAAGAAGGCCUUCGGGUUGUAAAGCCCUUUUGUUGGGAAAGAAAAGCAGCAGGUUAAUACCCCGCUGUUCUGACGGUACCCAAAGAAUAAGCACCGGCUAACUUCGUG
rnacentral:rRNA from 1 species